GUCAAGCAUAAGUAGAGAAAUGAGUAUCAGGUUACUACUUGGGUAUAUUGUUAAAUGAGUCCUUUGAUUACAGUUUUUAAAAAGACGAUGCUUCUUCCUGCCCUUCUUUAUUAUUGAAAUUAAUUCCGCUGCUCAUGUAUGUUGUUCGGUGUGAUUAUAUGCUGAAUAUCAUUCCUUGUAUUUUCUCCUGUGUGAAUUGAUUUUGUUAUUAAUUUUUAAAUUCUAUACAAGUGUAACUUAUAUAAGUUUGUGAAUAUUUCAGCAUGAUCUAGAAUAUGAUAUUUUAGUCAUAAAUUUACGAAUUUGAUAUUGUUGUUAGAAAGUUGGUAGACUUUGUCUGUUUUCAGUUGGUGAACACAGGAAAUGAAAGGGCAAAAGUCAGCCUUCUUUUUACAUGGGCGGAAGGCAAUGUUGCCAACCAGAGGGAACAUCUAAUUCUUCUCCUUGCCAAUAUUCACAUUCAGAAAGCUAAUAAGCAGUCUAUCUUGAAGAGUUAUACACAGUAUAUCCUUUUGCCAAUCAGUGACCUUGAUUCUUGGUUGAAGACACCCUCCAUAUAUGUUUUUGAUUGCUCUGCGGCUGGGGGAAUAUUGUGAAUGUUUUUAUUGAGGUAAAGCUUUAACUCAAAACAUAUAAUGAAUUGAUAUAUGUAUUUUGGGCAGUGAAUGCUUUUUCUUAUGAGACUAAAUUUUUUUUGUUGUAUUUUAAGUUGUGGAUAACAAUUGGUUUUUUUUUUUAAGAUAACAAUUGGUUUUUGUGCUGUGGAUCAUUAGAUCUGUUUUAUUAACAUAAGGAUGUAAUAUUUGCUUCUACAUUUACUAUCAUUCUAGUCAUAGAAAGUUAGUAUACUUCAGUUACAAGUUUAAUUGUUUUGCACCUAUAAGGGCUCUAUAACCCAUGCUUGCAAACUGGAAGUGACAUCAAGGAAAUAGUGUUUGAAGUGUUUGUUGAUAAGGAAGUUUUAUACUGUAUUUCAGAUGAAUCUGAAUCUACUUUUCAUGAGGCUUUUCUUAGUCGUCUUACGGAAACUGGUGCAACAGAAAGUUCAUCUUUAUGUGACCUUCCUAAACAGAUGGAGGGUGAUCAACAGAGAGCCUCUGAACAGACUAAGAACAUCUUAAGUAAUAUAGUUGCUGCUGUCGACAAUUUGUGGUAUCUAAAAGAUGGAAUACAUACUGUAGUCUUGAAAAAACUUUCAGAAAAUGGUAAGAGCUAUGUGGGUUUUAUAGUUUUAUUUUUGUAUGAUACUUCAAGCACUGAUCUGUAGACUUAUCUCAAAGGACACCAAGUGAAUUAUAUAGAGAGGUUAAGAACUUGAGGGUGGCAUUUACUGACCUGUUUUUGAAGCAUAACACUUUCAAAGAAACUGCAAAGCCAUCGAGAUAUUGAUGCAAAGAAUAAAGCCGAGCUUAGAAUAUUAAGAGGUAACUCCUAGUGAGUGGAGAGAAGGCACUUCAACUUGGAUUGCAAGUAAUUGCAAAGAUUAAGGGCUAUGCUGAUGUAGCUCAGGUACUCCAAUGAAUUGGCUUCCUAGUUCUAUUUUACUGUUGCUAAAACAUAGCUCAAAGAAGAUUAUCUUUGCA